UACGGAGGGAGCUAGCGUUGUUCGGAAUUACUGGGCGUAAAGCGCGCGUAGGCGGCUUUGUAAGUUAGAGGUGAAAGCCCGGAGCUCAACUCCGGAACUGCCUUUAAAACUGCAUCGCUUGAAUCCAGGAGAGGUGAGUGGAAUUCCGAGUGUAAAGGUGAAAUUCGUAGAUAUUCGGAAGAACACCAGUGGCGAAGGCGGCUCACUGGACUGGUAUUGACGCUGAGGUGCGAAAGCGUGGGGAGCAAACAGG
rnacentral:rRNA from 1 species